GUGAGGAAUAUUGGUCAAUGGGCGGGAGCCUGAACCAGCCAAGUCGCGUGAAGGAAGAAGGAUCUAUGGUUCGUAAACUUCUUUUGCAGGGGAAUAAAGUGCAGGACGUGUCCUGUUUUGUAUGUACCCUGAGAAUAAGGAUCGGCUAACUCCGUGCCAGCAGCCGCGGUAAUACGGAGGAUCCGAGUGUUAUCCGGAUUUAUUGGGUUUAAAGGGUGCGUAGGUGGUUUGAUAAGUCAGCGGUGAAAGUUUGCAGCUUAACUGUAAAAAUGCCGUUGAAACUGUCGGACUUGAGUGUAAAUGAGGUAGGCGGAAUGCGUGGUGUAGCGGUGAAAUGCAUAGAUAUCACGCAGAACUCCGAUUGCGAAGGCAGCUUACUAAGCUACAACUGACACUGAAGCACGAAAGCGUGGGGAUCAAACAGGAUUAGAAACCCUAGUAGUCC
rnacentral:rRNA from 1 species